rnacentral:rRNA from 1 species
AGACGAGGGAUCCAAGCGUUGUUCGGAAUCAUUGGGCGUAAAGCGGGUGUAGGUGGCUUUGUAAGUCGGGUGUGAAAGCCCAGGGCUCAACCCUGGAAGUGCAUUCGAUACUGCGAAGCUUGAGUGUAGGAGAGGUUACUAGAAUUCUUGGUGUAGUGGUGAAAUACGUAGAUAUCAAGAGGAAUACCGGAGGCGAAGGCGGGUAACUGGCCUAACACUGACACUCAGACCCGAAAGCGUGGGGAUCAAACAGGAUUAGAUACCCUGGUAGUCCACGCCGUAAACGAUGGAUACUUGUUGUUGGAGGUAUUGACCCCUUCAGUGACGAAGCUAACGCGUUAAGUAUCCCGCCUGGGGAGUACGGUCGCAAGAUUAAA